AUCAUGCCUUUAUGAAGUGGCUGUUUGGUCUCUCCAAUGUAGAGGUCUGGGCAUUCCUUGCUACACUGUACAGCAUACACUACAUUGUUAAGUUUUUGUUCAGGAGUUCUGUCUUUGGGAUGAACCAGUUUUUGACUGAGUGUGUGGCUGGGUCUGAAACCACAGACCACAGUCUUCAAGCAACUUAAAGAAGUCCAGAUGCUUUUCUUUCCAAGCUCCUUAGACUACAAUCACCUGGAUGACUGAGAACCUUCACAGACUUAUUACAUUAAGUAUAUCAGACAGGCAGGCCACAAAGUCUAAGAUCACUUGAUCUCAGCACAACAGCUGAUAGUUCAGCUGAUUGCCAAUUGUGCAUUCAACUGGCAAAUCAAUAUAGGGCUCACUGUUUACCUGUCGACAGAUGAUGAGCCUCUUUGCAAACCAAUUUCAACUCCAGCCCCUCAUUUUUAUACGAUGUUUGACAUAAUCAGUGACAUAUCAGGUCUCACUGCGCUGUUUGAGAUAGUAAGUAAGUAAAAUGUAUUUAUAUAGCACGUUUCACAGAUAAAAAUCACAAAGUGCUUCACAAUAAAACCAGAAAUAUAAAUAAAAUAAUACAAAACAAUGAAAAAUUAAUUAAAAGCUCGUUUGUAUAAAAAUAUCUUCAGCUGCAUUUUAAAGGAGUCAAUGGAGUCUUUACAGUGUAAAGACAGCGCCUGAAAAGCCUGAUCCCCACAUGUUUUGAACCUAGGACCAACAGUAACCUCUGACCUGAAGACUUAAGUGCACAGGAUGAAGCAUGAGGUUUCAACAGGUCAGAGAUGUACUGGGGAGCUUCACUGUGAAGAGCUCUAAAAGUUACGACUAAAAUUUUAAAAUGAACCCUAAAAUUUAGUGGCAACCAAUGAAGAGAGCCAAAACUGUGUGACCUCUUGUUUGUGCCGGUUAAAAGUCUUGCUGCAGCAUUCUGUACAGUCUGAAAGCGAUCCAAAGCUGAUUUGUUAAGACAAGUAAAAAGACCAUUACAAUAAUCCAAAUGAGAGGAAAUAAAAGCAUGAAUAAUCAUCUCAAGUUCUGUCUUUGACACCAGUAGUCUGAGUUUAGAAAUGUUUCUUAAAUGAUAUAAACCGUUCCGGACCAGUUGUUUGAAGUGUUUCUCAAGAGACAUUGAACUGUCAAAUAUAACACCUAAGUUUCUGAGACUCGACUGAAAUGGUCUAAAAAAGUCUAAAAAACUGAUAUGCUGCUUAAUUUCUGAGAACAUGUGAUCAGGAGCAAUAAUCAAAGUUUCUGUUUGGAGGAAGUUGUAAUUUAACCACUGUUUGAUUUCUGACAGACAAUUAUUUAAACAAGACAAUUUAUAAAACUCAGAAUCUCUGACAGAAUAGCAUAACUGAAUGUCAUUAGCAUAGAGAUGAUAUCAUUGUAACGUCUGAUAAUUUGGCCUAUAGGGAGUAUAUAAAGUAAAAGGAGAAUCAGACCUAAAACUGAUCCUUGAGGUACCCCAGAAGGCAGAACUGAUGUUUCAGACAACACUUGAUUCAUACAGACAGUAAAAGAUCUCUCAGAUAGAUAAGACAUAAACCAUUUUAAAACAACACCAGUAAUCCCGAACAAGUCCUUAAGCUGUGGUUCUUACUGCUGCUCACCCAACCUUAAGCUUUCCAUAUAUGUGCAUUAAAGCACAAUGAGCGGCACCAUAAUGCCAAAUAUCAAUUACUGCAGACAAAAAAAAGCAACUAAAUAAAACAAAACAAAAAAAAUCAACCAUUGACUCUAGUGGUUACAUUAUUAUUCACAGUAGAAUAUAAUAAUAUGAAUGCUAUUAUAUUUGAAUAAACAGUCAAUUCAUCAACUAUUCCUACAUUUCAGUAUAAGUGGGUAGAAGUGAGACUAUCUGAAUGGACAGUUUGUUUACCUGCCCUGAGCACCAGGCAGUUACAGAGGAAGUCAGCUGGCCUGUGUGGGGCGGUCUUUGGUGACAGAAAGAGGAUGUUUAUGUGUCACAACGGAAAUUAAGACCACUGAUAAUGCUAGACAUAGUGUGUUCCAGCUUCACCUCCCCCGGCUGAGGAAAAAAAUAGAGGAAAUGGAUGAUGGUGGAGAGACUGUGGGCGUGUGCUACAUGUACAACACAUACACACAGAAACACAGAUAGACACAGCGGGGGGAGUAUAAAGUUGAUCUCAGGGGCAACCUGAUGGACUGUGGUAUAGAUGGAAAAAUAAAUGGUUUUAUGACGUACAGCAGCACACCACAGACUUUCCCGAAUACAUAAGAAGGGAAAGAUACUUUUAUGUAUACUAACCCCAGAUUAUGCUUUGAUUGAACUUUCUAAUAUGCACAUUCAGCACAAGCUAAAUGUCAUCUUCACUAUCAUGUAACUCACUGGGCCGUCUUUUACUCUUGGUCCACUGGGAAGCAUGCUAAACAACUUAAAACAUGUGGUCAAGUUUCAGUGAGUUUUUGUUUGCUUUUGUUACACAUUAUCCUAAGAACUGUGAUGACCUUCUUAUGAAAUAAUUCAUUAGUUUCACUGAUAUUUAGGGCACAUGCACACAAGCAGUUCACUACCUGUGUCAUCUCUAUGCAUUUUUGUUUGUUUUGGGGGGUUUUUAUGACCAAAAACCAAGGACACAAGACAUGCUCUAAUCUCUUUUAAGUUUUGAUUCUCAGAAAAACGGAAGUUUUUGAUCAAUGCUUGCCAAAAAAAAAAUCCCCAACCAUCACCCAUAUUUCCUCCUCUGCCACGUUUAAACCAAAAAUGUGAGAAAGUUACGGUGAAAGAACUAGUGGGUUUCCUGAACGCGAGACCUGAACAACCAACUCAAGGGUCGAAGUCGCAUCUGUGGUGGAAAGAGUAAUGUCAUCUGAAUGGGGGAAAUAAUUAUUACCGCAGAUGUGGUGGUGAUAAGAGAUCAAGAGAAAAAGUACAAACCACAGACUGUAAGUCAUCAACUGGUGACCCCCUGGGGUCAAAUCUCAAUGUCACAGGACUGCAUAAAUAAAAACCAUGACCCCUUUCAUAUUGGUGAAAAAAUGUACCAUAUCGACCAAUCAAAAAAAUUAUAUGGCAACAUGUGGUUGUUUAGAAAUAGGGGGAUGUUUUGGGAGUGAUGGCGGCACGACAGAGUGAGGAGCGAGCAAGUUUUGACAUGUGAGAGAUUUGUGACAUUUAGCAUGUUUGGAGUGUGUAGUUAGUGUGCAGUGUGGUCAUUUGUAUUAUUUUGUGUGUCAAAACAAUGAGGGCACUAGUGAAUGUCACCGUUGCUGCUAAAAAGUCACCAAAUGUAGACUGCAAUACAAACACUGUGUCCAGGUGGAAAACAGGGGGAGUGAUAUGCCUCCUGCUGUCAGGCCUGCGGUGUGCUCCUCCUCUUGUGGUUGACAGAAAAGAUUUUCUGGACUUUUUCUGCACAAGUCAUUUGUGUGGCAUCUUAUUGUGACACCUGUUCGUUCUCUGAUUUUAGUUUUAGCAGUAGGUUUAAAUGGUUGUAUCAUGUUUUUCUACUCAGAGAUUAUGCUUUUUUGUGUGAUUUUAGAUCAGUUGUGUUGAUACAGUAUGUCAAAAUGAAAAAAUAAGUACAUUCAGACAUGUGAGGUUGUGCUGAAAAGAAUGAUGCCAAACAAGGCAAAGUAAAUAAGAAACUUACAAAUUAUUCGCAGGUCAAUCGUCACCUUCUUUGCCGUCACCGCCUUGGUGCUUAGAAACUGGAUGUGAUGAGUGAGAGGUCGAUGUGACAGAGAAUGUGAGGGGCACUGCAUUUGUCCAUAUCCUUCUUUAUCCUCACUUUUGACCAGUUUAGAAAAUAAAUAUGUUGUGUUGAAUAUGAUCUACAGAUAAUGGGAGCCAAGGUUAGUUUCUUUCAUAGAUUUCCACAGACAUUUUUUUUAUUUUUUCAACCCGAGCCCCCUACUUCCUUUUUUUGAUUUUUUAAAAUUCAAUUUGACUUCUAUCGUGCCAAAUCACAACAACUGUUACCUCAAGGCAGUUUAUAUUGUAAGGUAAAGACCCAACAUAUGUACACAUAUAUGCAGUAUAUAUAUACAGUGUAUUAGGAUGAAUGUGGUUUAAGGGGAUUCACUGUUAAAUCUUCAAGUUAUGUCCAUCUCUCAUAUACACUGUAGCUAACACAGCCCCACACACGAUCCACGCUAACGCGCUAAUGGAGAUUUGCGCUAAUGGAGAUUUGCGUUAAUGCGGUUAUGGCGUUAACGUCACUUUAACGAGAUUAACACUGACAGCACUACAUUAUGUAAUUAUUUUUGCAAUUAAAAUAGCAUUCCCUCAUAUCCAAGUACAAAUGCAAGUGUUACAUUGCUGCAUGAAUGUCAUGUUUAAAUAAUGUUUAAUAAAUAAUUUAAUAUUAUAAGUUGAAUAAGCAAAUCGUUCAUUUUUUUCUGUUAUUAAUUACAUGCAUGUGUGAGGUCAUGGGAAGUGGUUGGGCUUCUUUCCAUAAUGACGUGCAAGUAUGUGACGUGAUCUGAUAUGAGCACUACACAUAAUCUCGACAGAAAGUGAAUUGAAAGUUAAAUGCGUAGUGACAGCUAAACAAUGAGAUGAAAUUCAGUGAAACUUUUAUAAAACAAGGAGCUCCACACAGAUGCAAUAGUAUUCUGUUAAGACCUUUCUAAAAAUGUUGCAUUACAGCCACUUUAAAACAAAAAACGUAAAAUCAAAUGGAUUUAUAGAACAGAAAAUAGAGAACGAUAAACUCCAAAAAGAAUCAAAUGAAAGAUAAAUUGAAAGUGAAGAUUCUGAUGAUCUUUUCUCUCUCUCUCUCUCUCUCUCUCCCUCUCUCUCUCUCUCUCUCUCUCUCUUUCUCCAAUGAGCCCUAAGUUUGGAGCCAGAUGACACUGAUCACCUACAAACCAAGACCGUGAUCAAAAUUACCAGAAAUGUCAGCUAACAUAGUAACCAACAAGAAUGCCACAGGAAUGAUAAUGAUAUUCUCCAAACUUCUGGAUUUCUGAGAAAGUGAUCUCGGCUGUACAGUUCAUGUGCUGGAGGAGGAAAAUAGUGGUGCUGUCAACAGCAUGGAAAGGACGAGGGCACAAUGGUAAAGUGCUGCCAGAGCGAUGGUGGCUGAGACGCAGCGGAGCGGAGGUAGAGACAAUUCAUAAUGGAUAUAAGGAAAUUUUUUCAAAAAAAGGAGCCACAUUCAGGUAAAAGUGUAAAAUCAAAUGAUCAGUCAAUAAAGGAUUAUGUUGGAUCAGUU